GUAAGUUCCGACCUGCACGAAUGGUGUAACGAUCUGGGCACUGUCUCAACCAUGAGCUCGGUGAAAUUGAAGUAUCGGUGAAGAUGCCGAUUACCCGCAACGGGACGAAAAGACCCCGUGAACCUUUACUACAGCUUCGUAUUGGGCUUGGGUAUAAAAUGUGUAGGAUAGGUGGGAGACUAUGAAGUUCAUGCGCUAGUGUGGAUGGAGUCGUCCUUGAAAUACCACCCUUUUUAUACUUAGGUCCUAACUCGUCAGAGGACAGUGCGUGGUGGGUAGUUUGACUGGG
rnacentral:rRNA from 1 species